AGAGGAGGUUAAACUAGAAUUGAGCUCUAACGUGGGAAGAAAUUUUAACUGAACUAAACAAAACGUUCACUACUCUGCAUAACAAAGAGCAGACUCUAGCAAGCUUAGAAGUCAGCUGGUCUACCCUCAGCAGGCUUUAAAAAAGACCCUUAAAAUACCCACCCCAACACAACACAACGAGAAAACAUCCUUGGAAUUGCCUCCAUUUCCAAUGAGCAUUUCUUAGAUGGGAGACCAGAACUGAGCUGGAGAAGCUGAAGAGUGAUUCAAGGUUAAAACUGGGUGCUUCCAUCUAGCUCUGCCUUCACCCCAACAGCCCUCCUGCAGGUUCAGCAACACCACACACCUGAGCUGCCUCUCUCACAGCCUCAUGAGCCCAUUCCAGCAACUCCCUGCAGCAUCUGCGUGUCAACACCUGUUCUGCUCCAGUCUUUGUCUGUGUUUGGGACCAGCUUUAACAAGUUGUGAAGUAGAAACAAAAUACAAAACCAAGGGAAAACAGAUCAGUGAAAGAGAUCAUUUAAUCAUAAAAAUCACUUAAUGCCAUACAACAAACCUAAAUAUCUGAAAAUGAAAAACUGCUAUCAUGCCUUUAAAAAGUUACAAAGGCAGGGAAUUAAAUACCAAUAUGCUUGACCGGUAAUCUGUACCCAAAGCAAUCUUAAGUGCUCCUUAAAUAUUCCUGUGCAGGAAAAUGAAAAGUAGAAGGAAAGUUCCACACCAUUCCACUAUAAGGGCUCAGCCUAAGAAACGGACCUUGCAAUUAGCAUCACUGCAGGAGUACUUAGUAUAAGAUGACUGAGAAGCUUUGGAUACUACUAGUAUUAACAACACAGGUGGGUUCCUUUUAUUAUUUUUUUUUUCUUUGACUUUUGAGUACAGUGAAUGCUCACAUAAUUAUGAUUUCGUUUAGAGAAGAGAUGGACAAAAGUUAUGACCAAUGCAUCCUUAUAAAUAUUCAUUGCUGGAAAACCUCAACUUUCUUUCUGAUAUAUUCAGCUAGAUGAAUUAGAUUUUAGCCAGUAACUGGUUAAUCAGCAUGAACACUUACCAAAACAGUUGAAAUUGGCAUAAAUUAAGGAAAUCCCACAGAGAAAACAUAGGAGAAAGAAGACAAAGCAGCAAUUUUUGUGAGGCAUUAUCCCCUUUAACAUUUUAGCUUGGUGAUCAAGGGAGGAUGUGUUCCCUUUUUGCCCACUCACAUAGAAUGUUAAGCACCAGCACAUUUGGUGUGCAGGUGGUAUCAGACCACUACGGUUUCCAACCCCGAUAAAAGAUGCAGUGGAAGACUGAUUAUUCCAGCUCAGAACAUCUCGCUCUCCCUUGGGUACAUACUUCACAUACACAUCUUGAGCAAGCCACCAGGAAACGGGGAGUGAGCACCACUCCUCCGAGUGCUUUCAGAGUGAAGGCUGGAACCACCCCAGUGCAGUUCUGCUGAGAUUUAUGAAGAUAUCAACACCCCUUCAAAGACAUGGCAUCAAAAGCUGAGCGACCCGAAAGAUCAAGGGCCCAGCCUUAUUCUAGUACAUCAGAGAUCACUGUUAACAUCAUAAAUUUGGCUGAUCAACUUAAAAAGACUGGAAGGGGUCAACUGAAUUCCAAGAUAGUUAAUCAAAUCCUACAAAAAAAAAAGAUCACCUAAAAACUGGUAAGCAAGGCAGUAAUGGCAAAACUAGAAACCUGACACUUAACUGAGCACAAGCCUAACUGUCAUACCUUGCAAAGAUGCUUUUAAUUCCAAAGAAAGGCAUUAAAUUCCCCUCUCUCUCUUCCUCCUCUGGGAAAAAAAAAAAUUCUACCACAGAAUGAAUAGAGCGAAUCCACAACCUGGAUCUCCUCCAGCAUUUAGGACUCUCAUGCAAGAAUAUUAAAGCAGUUGCUUAACAACUAUCCAAAGAGUUAACUACUAAGAUGAAUUAAUAGAGAAAAAGAAUUAAUAGUCUUAUUUCCCUUUGCACAUGUUACAGAAGAUCCGAGAUAACUGCCCAAUACACUUUAUACAAACAAAGAAGACUUCAUUCAAGCAUAAACAUACAGAAUUAACUACAACGGAAGGACAUCAAACCAAAAUGCUCAGGCUUUUGAAAUAAAUGAGUAAUUUCAUGGUUCAUACUAGCUAACGCAACAUUUACAAGAGCAAUAAAAUCUCAGGUUGGGAAGGACUGAGUUCAUUCCCCUGGCAUCAGCAGGACUUCCUCCUGUAUCCAUAUAUAUAUAUCACUGGCUAUUUGCAUUUCUGUUAAUUUAAACAUGGGCCUGACUUCUUGUUCAGUACCGAUAUUGGCCAAUGACUGAAGCAGAAGAUGGGAAGACAGUCCAGUUUACCCAAUUUCAAAUUCAAAAUGUAAAUAGUACGUUGGAUUUCAACUACCUAAAAAAAUAACCAGCGCCAUCAUGUUUGUGCUGCUUCACCAAGGCUCAAAAGCACAGAGCCCAGAAACCGCUACCCAUCACAGGCAGGUCACCCCAGCCCUUCCCUCUCCUCCACUUCUCAUAUAACUGACAUAUUCAGCUCUGCUGCUGCCCCCAAAACAAUGCAAGAAAGUGAUGCCAUUGUGUCUUCCUACAAUGACAAGGAUAGAAAAUGACUGUGCAUGAAGUACAAUGGGAAGGACUAAGAGAAGAGAGGGGAGAGUUUUGUAUUUAUUCCCUCGGUGACCCUCACUCACCCUUCAUCUUUGCCCUGCCCAACUAAGAUUGGGCGCUGUCGAUUGGAAACAUAACGCACUUCAGGCAGUGAAUCACCCCAUCAGAGCUCCAACACAAUGCUCUCCUCUUCCCCCCCAGCCCCCUCUCAGAAUAAUACAUAUGAGCAAACACAUAUACUCAUUAAAAAUGAGUUACUACUUGAUGUAAAUCAUAUCCAGAUUGCAGUUGCUGAGAUCAGAGGAAAGAAUGAAAUUACUUAUGCCAAGACUCAAAUAGUUCACAACUUACGUCCCCACAUGAGGAACACUAUUUUCAGAUGGCACACACUCCAGGCUUCAUUUGAAGAAGAUUUAGUCAUGAUUAGAUUUUUAAUAAAGAACGAGCCAUUCCAAGCAACUCUAUUCAGCAGCACUUCUAAAAGCACUCACACAAUACUGUUGUGAAGAAAGAGUAAAAGGCAUUUUCUGUUUUCAUUCUUACAUUAUUUCAUGAGCACACAAAGGACAAUACGUGAUGACAACUAGAGAGUUAUUCUCUACUUUAUUGCAGGAACACAUUUUAAAAUUAAAAACCAUGAACAAAUCUACAGAAUAAUUCAGUUUUCAUAUCAAACAGCUGCAGACCCUGUAACUGAAAUAGUAUGUCUAAGGUUAUAAAUGAAAACUGUUCAGUAUCAUUCUUUGAGUGACAGAUUAAAUUCCUAAUCCAGUUAUGGUAAUGGCCACAUUUGUAGUUUAACAUAAAUUAAGAGCUUAAUUAUAUUUGUGACUAUUUUAAACAAAAUAACAAAUUCCUUUGUACCUGUGAACGUAAUUUAUAGCAAAGCCAUGUUCAUUUUCCAAAACAAUCUAUUUUAGACUGCAGCCCAACACUGCUCUAAUGGUAUAAUGUAAUUCUAGUUGUAGAAUGUGGAAAGAGUAGAUUCACUGGUAGCGCAGAGGUUUUGAAGAUAAAUGAAGAUGCUAUUCAUUCAGGGGUAAUUUCAUCUUAGAACUAUAUGAAAGAUGUUUCACUCACAAAAGGUACCUGUAUGGCUUGGGAUUUAAGCAUGUUUUCAGCUACAACAUAAUGCUGCUAGAUUGAUUAUGUUGAUACUGCAUUUCUCAUCAUGAAGAAUUCCAGCUUUUAUUCUCUUUAAAAAAAAAAAAAGAGACCAUCAGAUUUUCAUUUCACUAUGCCUUUGUUCAAACCUCAGCAACAAGUUCAAAUUUCUCCUAAUGUUUUGUCUAGAGGAAAACCAAACCACAAUUCAUACACACACAAAAAAAAUCACAAAUCUGUAGAGAGCAAUUAAUCAUGUGUGAUUUACACAUUUAUUUGAUUACUUGUUGAAGUAAAUAAGCAGUUAGUCUGUGUAACACAAUUUUAAAUUGCCCAAACAUCCUUCUGUCAUUCAGGACUAAGAACAGACAAUUCUAAAUGCACUUUCCUGGAAUAUAUUAAGACCAUUUACAGGGACAUCAAUUGCACUAGCAAUUAAUACAUAUCUUAACGUAAUGAGCUGUAUAACCUCAGGAUAGCUACUAGAAUUUCCACAGUCCUGAACAAUCUAGACAGCCUUUUAAGCAAGACUCUAACGCUACCUGCAUAAAUAUUUCAGAAGAAUCUGCAAGGACAGAGGUAGUCUAACCACUCACAUUCCUCCUCCUGACAAGUUGGGACAGCACAGAGAUGCUCUGUGCUGCAUUUGAGGCCACAGGCCCAGCAAAGCACAGCUGCAUUAAGCCCCUGCCGCCUCCUCUGCUGCACCAGUGCUGCCCAGUCGCUGGCCAAAAGGCUUUAUCUGCGCCCAGUAUCAGUAGGAAGACGGGGCCUGGGCAGGCCCUCUGCUUCAGGCUGAAGCAUGGUCUCCUUUGGUUAUCAGGUUUGAUCCAAGUUCAUGGCUGAAAGUAAUUGAAAAACCGUAGCCUACCUGCACAAGAAUAAAGCAGUAUCCUAAAGUAUAUAAAACUCAAAAAAAAAAAAAAGUGUUUAUAGACAUACAAACACACAGCAGACCUAACUCACCAUCUGUAAGAGAUGAAGACAAGGGUGGCCUGGCUUCUGGAAGGCCUUGGGUCUGGUGAUCGUCCUUACAGAAAGGCCCAUAACCCACUUCUUAAAUUGCACAAUUCUUUCUUUUAUUUUUCCAGCUGACCACGCACUACUUAGGUUUCUUUCUCCCAGAUACCUCCACACGAAGUAUCAUAUAAAAACACUACGUUGCAAGAAAUUAUAUGCAGAAACUUACACCCAUUCUAUCUUCUGUUUGCCAGUACACAGCAACAGUGUCUAAAGGCACCAGACCUACAGGCCAGACAUGCAUAAAGGCAGGCUGAGCAGCACCUCAAGUACCUGGCAGACAAAUGUAAA